UACGUAGGGUGCGAGCGUUUGUCCGGAAUUAUUGGGCGUAAAGAGCUUGUAGGCGGUUUGUCGCGUCUGCUGUGAAAAUCCGGGGCUCAACCCCGGACUUGCAGUGGGUACGGGCAGACUAGAGUGUGGUAGGGGAGACUGGAAUUCCGUGGUGAUAGCGGUGAAAUGCGCAGAUAUCAAGGAGGAACACCGGUGGGCGAAGGCGGCCUGCUGGGCGAGUGGCUGACGCUGGAGGCGACGGACA
rnacentral:rRNA from 1 species